UCCUUUCCUCUCCUCUCCUCUCCUCUCCUCUCUUCUCCUCUCCUCUCCUCCUCUCCCCUCCCGCCCCGCCUGGCCCUUCUCUGUUGGUGUCUCUCUCAGUGUUUCAUCCUGAGCCUCUGUUAGGCUUCAGGGAGAAUGCUUUUCUCAAAGGAUAGCUUUGUGUAUUCAAUGGAUUAUGUACUUGACACUCAGUGAAUUCCCUACAGUAAGUGGUGGUCAGUACAGUCCAGUUGUUGAGAAACAAGUAGAGUAGGUAAGGUGGACUUUCAGGUAGACUGUUUUCUCAAACGCACUAGCUGCUUUGAGAAAAAUGGUCAUAAGAACAUUGGAGCUGUUGGUCUGUUGCCGAGCAGCAGGCCAACAGCUCCUGUGUUAUGCAAACUAAAAUCAUCCCUUUGUCAAUAGUUUUUGGAUUUAAAGGGGGCCAUUUAUAUACUUCCAUCACAGUUCCACAUACAUCACAACUUGAAGAGAGAUGGGCUCUUAGCUUUUGGAAGGAGCUUUGUGAAUUGCUUCUUGGUUGUCAGUAUCUCUGGUCAGAAGAUCCUGAGUUUGGGCAGAAAGAAGCAUUUGAGGAUUUGGUUCAUCUGUCAGGAAUCCUCAGUGAUCCUUCAAUUUUUGCAAGCUGUUGCUGCUGUGUACCGCAGUGUGACACGGAUCACUCCCAACAGCCACAUGCACAAAAGAUCUAUCUACACUGAUGUGUUCCAUAUGUACGGUAAUGAAAACAUCAACAAUGGCACAUUUUGUGGCUGCAGUCACUAUGUACUGUUUAGCACCGCCACUGAAAAGAAACACCUACUAUAUUUACACCUGAUUAGUCUGUGCAAAAAAACCAAGCUUUCCUCUUUGCAUGGCUUCCUUUUUAAAGGUGGUUCCUAUAGAUUUCUUGUAUACUGUUAUAAGGAAGCCAUUUUGGAGGCUAAGUGUGACUGAAAAGACCUAAUUUUUGAAAUGGGGCUGUGAAAGUGCUUUUGACUUGCAGUCGUGUUUGUUGUUUUUUACCUGAUGAAUAGUUCCCACACCUCUCUGAACACAUUUGUAUGUGGAAAAGCUUCUUUGCCUCCAGCUUCAUCCCAAAAGAACUUCUAACCAGGGUAAAUGAUCAUGACAGACUUCCUUUAAAGCUGUGGUAUGUUACUCUUGUAAAAAAAUGGGUUUUUUACAUAUUUGUUGAAACUGUUGUGACAGUGUGGUAUGAGACAAAUAAUCUGUGAAAACAAUUGAGUUCCUCUGCCUUCUCCCAAUGCAAACUGCAGAAAUACACAACUCAGUCAGGAACAACCAAUUACAGCCAGGAGGAGGGUCUUAGCGCUGUCAAACACUCUAGUGUAUGCACUGCACUCACCCCCUGCCCCCUUGCUCUCUGCUCUCCUACAGCUUGUCCCUAUCAGACCACCUAUGAUGUCAAGAUGGAACAGUUAGGUUAGUUGUUUCUUGGCCAUUAGCACCAUGAGAACGAGGUUGAUAUGUUAUAUGAUUGAUUGUCAUCAAUCAUAUAACAUAUCAACCUCGUUUUAUUGAUAUACAGUGAGCCCUCGCUAUAACACGUUUCACCUUUCACAGCCUUGCUGCUUUGCAAUUUUUUUUGUGCAGUUUUUUUUUUCACAGUGCAUUGUGUUCUGCGUCCUGAUUGGCUAAACAGUCUCCAUGCUUCUUCUCUACCUGUGUGCCAAUAACGUUAUGGUAUUUAAAUAAUACAGCUUGAAAAAUUUUGGCAAAUAUUUUUGCCCAGAAGAAAAAAAAGCAUCAACAACUACCAAUAACUAUGUUCUUCUCUCAAAAAACACACACCUGCACCACAGGCUUCAGAAGAAAAAGCACUAGAGAGCAGAGUGAGGCCGCAGCGUCACAGUCAGAGGAACAGUGAAAUAUGCCAGUCACAAUCUGUCCUACUGUACUUCGUAUUGAUGAUUUAAAUGAUUAUUUUACUGUAGUUAUUCGUAACAAAACGUUCUAUUUGUUAAAAAGAAUGCUUAGGCCUGAAAACACAUUUUGUUCUUUGGUUUCAAUGUAGAGUAUUUAAUCAUGCUUUAUAAUAAUUGUAAAAAAUAAAGGUAACUACUUCACAGAUUUCGCCUCACGGGUUCUUUUCGGAAUGUAACCCCCACGAAAAACGAGGGUUCACUGUAUAUAAUAUAUACCGACAUGUACUGAUAUAUUAUAUAAGACCUUCCUCCUGGCUCUGACUGGUUGUUUCUGGUUGGGAGCGCUGCAUUUCUUCAGACAGCAACAGUAGCUCAGAGAAGAUCGAUCUUUUCACUGGCUCAUAGUUUACUGUCAGGACAAACUGACAGUUUUAGCAAAGAUUUAAAAAACUUUUUUUUAUGUAAAAACAGCCCAGUUUUAACAACUACUUGCUCAGUUUAUUUUGGUGAUAUACUAAUUUAGUGUCCUAGUCUGUAUUAUCAAUGAGCAUUUUGUAUUUAUAAGAAGAUGUUUUAGUUGAAGCAAAGUUUGUGUCAACUAAUGUUGGACUGAAUGUUGAGAGAAAUUCAUUCCCCUACAUAUGAACUAGAGUUCAUAAUAGCAGAGGACUUUGCUGUUGCUUAUCUUUCUGUUCAGUGUCCCUGGAAGUCAGGUAUCUGUUUUUAAAGCCGGCUUCUCAGAACUAGAAUCUAGCCUUAACCCUCCCACCUGCACACUGUUUGCCACCACAAAACCCUGAAGCAGAUUUGUCAUCCACUGUUUAGCAUAUUUAAACAGUGGAAUGAAGUUUUCUCUCUACUUGAGAAAAAGAUUUGAAUUUCUUGUCUGCAUAAUUUCCACGGAGUAUUCACUGCUUAUGUAUUCAGUUUCAAACUGCACUAAUUUGAAAUCAAAAUGAUGAAAUUUAAAUUCCACAUGGAAAAGUAAAGCAAUGCCGCCACUAGCCACAGGGUUCUUUACCACCGUCGUGUCUUUGACCUUCUGAAUCGAGUUAACUGUAGUUUCCACAUGAAAAAAACAGCAGUCUGCACUGUGAAGCAAGUUUAGUGGCCUUUUGAGGCAUCUUCAGGUUCAGUUCAUGAUUUUGUCUUCUUACCUGCGUUAUCUGUAUGCUUGAAAUCUUCCCUACGCCGAAGCAGGAGAAUUCCACCAAUCAGUGCACACAACGGGGAAAAUGAAUGAAAUAGACAGUAGUAUACAACCGUCACCCGACUUUGACACAAACAAUUUUAAGUUUGCUCUUUUCUAUUAAUAGUUUUUUCAGGGGUCUGCAACAUAUUGCUCCUGAGCUGCAUUUAGCACUUUGGAUAUUCCAAAAUGGCUUCAUAACUUUGGUUAAAGUUAUAUAUAGAUUUUGCAGUAGAAGGUUAUGUUAACUGGUCUCUCCAAAUUGCUCUUAUUGUGAGUGUGGAUGAUUGUUUGUCCUAUGUGUGUCUGUAUUGCCCAGUGAGGGACUGGACCUGUCCAGGGCCUACUCUGCCCCUUGCCCAGUAGCUAUAUUUCCAUUACAAAUGUGCACAAAUCUUUGUUUAUAUUCUGCGAACAUAAAAAAAAAACAACACAAUUUGCAAAUGCGGUGUUUUCAUUAGAUAAGAAAUUAAAUUAAAGUCUUAUGUGAAUAAGCUUUUAAUAAUUUCCAAUAUGUUAUUAAAAGUUAUGGCAGCGAAGGAUGUAAACGAUUAAAUGAAAUAGAAUCCUAAUUAAACCUUGGCCCUGGCCAGUUGGUUCAUCCCCAGCAGCUGACCACUGCUGCAGAUAACCACCAGCUCUCUCUCUGCAGUACAAGUGAAUGGAGAUAAAUGCAACAGAAUUAGUCAAAUCAAUUUUUUCUUUGAAAAUAUUAUCAUUAUGUAUCACUCAUCUUUUGGCACAAGUUUCUUUUAUUAUUAUUUUACAACCUGAAAAUGGAAAUAAAUUUGACAGCAAAUUUCAAAAUAUAUAUUUGUUGAAAAAAGUAGAUGGUCUUUUUUCAAAGUAUCAUGCAAAAUUUU